CAAACUCCGAAUGCCAAUUAAUUUAACUUGGGAGUCAGAACAUGGGUGAUAAGGUCCGUGUUCGAAAGGGAAACAGCCCAGACCACCAGCUAAGGUCCCAAAAUAUAUGUUAAGUGGAAAAGGAUGUGGCGUUGCCCAGACAACUAGGAUGUUGGCUUAGAAGCAGCCAUCAUUUAAAGAGUGCGUAAUAGCUCACUAGUCGAGUGACACUGCGCCGAAAAUGUACCGGGGCUAAACAUAUUACCGAAGCUGUGGAUUGUCCUUUGGACAAUGGUAGGAGAGCGUUCUAAGGGCGUUGAAGCAUGAUCGUAAGGACAUGUGGAGCGCUUAGAAGUGAGAAUGCCGGUGUGAGUAGCGAAAGACGGGUGAGAAUCCCGUCCACCGAUUGACUAAGGUUUCCAGAGGAAGGCUCGUCCGCUCUGGGUUAGUCGGGUCCUAAGCUGAGGCCGACAGGCGUAGGCGAUGGAUAACAGGUUGAUAUUCCUGUACCACCUAUAAUCGUUUUAAUCGAUGGGGGGACGCAGUAGGAUAGGCGAAGCGUGCGAUUGGAUUGCACGUCUAAGCAGUAAGGCUGAGUAUUAGGCAAAUCCGGUACUCGUUAAGGCUGAGCUGUGAUGGGGAGGAGACAUUGUGUCUUCGAGUCGUUGAUUUCACACUGCCGAGAAAAGCCUCUAGAUAGAAAAUAGGUGCCCGUACCGCAAACCGACACAGGUAGUCAAGAUGAGAAUUCUAAGGUGAGCGAGCGAACUCUCGUUAAGGAACUCGGCAAAAUGACCCCGUAACUUCGGGAGAAGGGGUGCUCUUUAGGGUUAACGCCCAGAAGAGCCGCAGUGAAUAGGCCCAAGCGACUGUUUAUCAAAAACACAGGUCUCUGCUAAACCGUAAGGUGAUGUAUAGGGGCUGACGCCUGCCCGGUGCUGGAAGGUUAAGAGGAGUGGUUAGCUUCUGCGAAGCUACGAAUCGAAGCCCCAGUAAACGGCGGCCGUAACUAUAACGGUCCUAAGGUAGCGAAAUUCCUUGUCGGGUAAGUUCCGACCCGCACGAAAGGCGUAACGAUUUGGGCACUGUCUCAACGAGAGACUCGGUGAAAUCAUAGUACCUGUGAAGAUGCAGGUUACCCGCGACAGGACGGAAAGACCCCGUGGAGCUUUACUGUAGCCUGAUAUUGAAAUUCGGCACAGCUUGUACAGGAUAGGUAGGAGCCUUUGAAACGUGAGCGCUAGCUUACGUGGAGGCGCUGGUGGGAUACUACCCUAGCUGUGUUGGCUUUCUAACCCGCACCACUUAUCGUGGUGGGAGACAGUGUCAGGCGGGCAGUUUGACUGGGGCGGUCGCCUCCUAAAAGGUAACGGAGGCGCUCAAAGGUUCCCUCAGAAUGGUUGGAAAUCAUUCAUAGAGUGUAAAGGCAUAAGGGAGCUUGACUGCGAGACCUACAAGUCGAGCAGGGUCGAAAGACGGACUUAGUGAUCCGGUGGUUCCGCAUGGAAGGGCCAUCGCUCAACGGAUAAAAGCUACCCCGGGGAUAACAGGCUUAUCUCCCCCAAGAGUUCACAUCGACGGGGAGGUUUGGCACCUCGAUGUCGGCUCAUCGCAUCCUGGGGCUGUAGUCGGUCCCAAGGGUUGGGCUGUUCGCCCAUUAAAGCGGUACGCGAGCUGGGUUCAGAACGUCGUGAGACAGUUCGGUCCCUAUCCGUCGUGGGCGUAGGAAAUUUGAGAGGAGCUGUCCUUAGUACGAGAGGACCGGGAUGGACAUACCUCUGGUGUACCAGUUGUCGUGCCAACGGCAUAGCUGGGUAGCUAUGUGUGGACGGGAUAAGUGCUGAAAGCAUCUAAGCAUGAAGCCCCCCUCAAGAUGAGAUUUCCCAACUUCGGUUAUAAGAUCCCUCAAAGAUGAUGAGGUUAAUAGGUUCGAGGUGGAAGCAUGGUGACAUGUGGAGCUGACGAAUACUAAUCGAUCGAAGACUUAAUCAA
rnacentral:rRNA from 1 species